rnacentral:lncRNA from 1 species
CACAUGGCUGAGGAGUCUUCACAAACAUGGCAGAAGGCAAAUGAGGAGCAAAGUCAUAUCUUACAUGGUGGCAGGCAAUAGAACUUGUGCAAGGAACUCCCAUUUAUAAAACCAUCAGAUCUCAAGAGUUUUAUUAACUACCAUAAACACUGUAUGGGAGAACUGACCCCAUGAUUCAAGUACCUGCACCUGGCCCCACCCUUGACAUAUGAGGAUUAUUACAGUUCAAGGUGAGAUUUGGGAGGGGACACAGCCAAACCAUAUCAAAGCUUCAACAUAAAUUUUGGAGGGACACAAACAUUUAAAUCAUAGCACAAAGUUAAUAAUCUCAUGCGAUUCAGAGAAAAGUACAGAGAGACACAAUAAAGAAACAGACAAGAUAAGUGCUGUGAAUAAAAUAAAACAGCUUAAUGUGAUUGGGGGAACAACAUUAGAAAGAGGGUCAUGAAAGCGUUCUCUGAAGAGGUGACACUCAAGCUGAGACUUUCAGGGCCAGCUCUUAAGCAGGGCAGGGGAAUUCUAGUCUCCCUUCCUUCAUCCUAAAACCUGCAAAUUCCUUUCCCCAAAUUGGAAGAAACAGACUUAAAAUGCAAAACAUGGGGGGGUCACAUUUUACUGUGAAUGAACUUUGAUCUGUAACUGGCCAAUCCAUUCAUCAGUGUGAAUGACUGGUUAUCAUACUCUGUUUUGACUGGGGAGGUGUGGAGAGGAGGGCAGUGAUAAGGCUUAUGUUUCUUUUUUUGUUUUGUUUUGUUUUUUUUUUUUUUGACACGGAGUUUCGCUCUUGUUACCCAGGCUGGAGUGCAAUGGCACAAUCUCAGCUUGCUGCAACCUCUGUCUCUCGGGUUCAAGCAAUUUUCCUGAGGAGCAGGGACUAUGGGUGUGUGCCACCAUGUCUGGCUACUUUUUGUAUUUUUAGUAGAGAUGGGGUUUCACCAUGUUGGCCAGGCUGGUCUUGAACUCCUGACCUCAAGUGAUCUGCCUGCCUCGGCCUCCCAAAGUGCUGGGAUUAUAGGCAUGAGCCACUGAGCUCAGCCAGGGACUUUGUUCUGAUCAGCGCUGUGCCCUUAGCCCAAUGCCAGCAUGCAGUAGGUAGUUAAUACAUGUUUGUCGAACAACUGAAACCCUAAAAUUAUUUGGCUCUUUGUCUUUCAGGACUUAAUAAAAACUUGCUCCUUUU